rnacentral:misc_RNA from 1 species
AUCGUUGCCCGAUGCCUAUUGCAGUGCGAUAGGAAUUUCUAGGGCGAAUGAUGGCUUCCCGUGAGCAUUGUUGCCUCGCGGUUGGUUGAAAAUUGAGUCCUUGGUAGGGUGUGCCAUGGUAGAUGGUGGUCGAGUUAGCACGAGGCCGAUCAUGUGCAUGCCCCCCCAAAAAUAUGGCCUCUAUGACCCACAUGCGUCUUUUGGCGCUCA